rnacentral:rRNA from 1 species
GAGGAAAGAGGGCGGAGGGACGAAGAAAGGAAAGGAGAGAGAAAAGAAGAGGAGCUUGAGAAGGGGAGGGGAGCGGCGGACGGGUGAGUAAAACGUAGGGAAAAUAAGGAGAAGAAUGGGAUAAAUUAGGGAAAAUGGAGAUAAUACAGGAGAAUAUUUCGAAAAGUAUGGUUCAAUAGUGAAAGAUGGCUUUGCUAUCACUUAUCGAUGGACCUGCGCCGUAUUAGCUAGUUGGUAAGGUAACGGCUUAACAAGGAAACGAUACGUAGCCGACCUGAGAGAAUACUCGGCCACACUGAAACUGAGACACGAUCCAGACUCCUACGGGAGGCGGCAGUAGGGAAUCUUCCGCAAUGGGCGAAAGCCUGACGGAGCAACGCCGCGUGAGUGAUGAAGGUCUUCGGAUCUUAACCCUCUCUUCUUCUAUACGAACAAACGUGUAAGUAACUGUGCACGUCCUGACCGUACCUAAUCAUAAAGCCCCAGCUCCCUACGUU